CGCAGCCUCGCGCUGGCCCCCAGUGUGGACGAGCAGGCUAUUCCACAGGAGCCUCCAGGAUGUCAACAACCUGAUGGCUUGUUUCCACAUCGUGAUUUCUCAGCCCUAGCAUCUUUGCAACUAGCUGGCAGCAUUACCGUGCUGGUGGAGAGGGAACGAUUGACCUGGGCAAAGAUUUCAAGAGACCAGAGGUCAUUUACUGCACACUUUCUUAUCUUGUUGGGAGUCACAGAUGCUUCUCCGCUGGAGAAUGCAGGGGAGGCUCUUCUGGCAAGGCCGAGUGUUGAAAGAAGAAACUUACAGGAGCAAGAUGGAGUCUCUGUGGACUGUUCUAGAUGCUGGGAAUACCACUCCAACAACACAGGCAGAUUGGCCUCCCUUCCUGGAACUUGCAUUCCUGUGAGUGGAGCCAAA